GAGGGUAUAGCUCAGUGGUAGAGUGUGUGUACUUAUCAUACACAAGGUCCUGGGUUCAAUCCCCAGUACCUCCA
rnacentral:tRNA from 1 species